rnacentral:rRNA from 1 species
UUGACCUCGGAUCAGGUAGGAAUACCCGCUGAACUUAAGCAUAUCAAUAAGCGGAGGAAAAGAAACCAACAGGGAUUGCCCUAGUAACGGCGAGUGAAGCGGCAACAGCUCAAAUUUGAAAUCUGGCUCUCGGGCCCGAGUUGUAAUUUGUAGAGGAUACUUUUGAUGCGGUGCCUUCCGAGUUCCCUGGAACGGGACGCCAUAGAGGGUGAGAGCCCCGUCUGGUUGGAUGCCAAAUCUCUGUAAAGUUCCUUCAACGAGUCGAGUAGUUUGGGAAUGCUGCUCUAAAUGGGAGGUAUAUGUCUUCUAAAGCUAAAUACCGGCCAGAGACCGAUAGCGCACAAGUAGAGUGAUCGAAAGAUGAAAAGCACUUUGAAAAGAGAGUUAAAAAGUACGUGAAAUUGUUGAAAGGGAAGCGUUUAUGACCAGACUUGGGCUUGGUUAAUCAUCUGGGGUUCUCCCCAGUGCACUUUUCCAGUCCAGGCCAGCAUCAGUUUUCCCCGGGGGAUAAAGGCGGCGGGAAUGUGGCUCUCUUCGGGGAGUGUUAUAGCCCACCGUGUAAUACCCUGGGGGGGACUGAGGUUCGCGCA